rnacentral:rRNA from 1 species
CCUACGGGUGGCAGCAGUGAGGAAUAUUGGUCAAUGGGCGCGAGCCUGAACCAGCCAAGUAGCGUGAAGGAUGACUGCCCUACGGGUUGUAAACUUCUUUUAUAAAGGAAUAAAGUUAGGCACGUGUGCCUUUUUGUAUGUACUUUAUGAAUAAGGAUCGGCUAACUCCGUGCCAGCAGCCGCGGUAAUACGGAGGAUCCGAGCGUUACCCGGAUUUAUUGGGUUUAAAGGGAGCGUAGAUGGGUUGUUAAGUCAGUUGUGAAAGUUUGCGGCUCAACCGUAAAAUUGCAAUUGAUACUGGCAGCCUUGAGUACAGUUGAGGUAGGCGGAAUUCGUGGUGUAGCGGUGAAAUGCGUAGAUAUGACGAAGAACACCGAUUGCGAAGGCAGCCUACUAAACUGCCACUGACAUUGAUGCUCGAAAGUGUGGGUAGCAAACAGGAUUAGAUACCCGUGUAGUC